ensembl:miRNA
CACCUUCUCACACAGACUCUUGACCUGGGACUCCGAGAGUUGCUUGCACUCAUUGAGCUGCUCGAUCCACUGGUCCAGCUCCUUGGUGAAGACCUU